rnacentral:lncRNA from 1 species
UCUCGCCUUUCACCCUGGCGGAGGGGUGCCUGCACUCCAGGUCCCUACCUUGGGGUUAGAAUCUGGCUGCGGAAGGCCUCCAGAUCCCCUCCACUGCUAGUCUGAGACCCCAGCUUCAGCACCAGAGGCUGGACAGCGCCCUGGCCCGAUUGCGCCUGGGUUCCCGCGCACAGCUCCGCUGCCCUAAGUCGCUCGGAUCUCACGCGGAGGCGACCAGGAGUGACAAAUGGAAAAGCUGGAUGGAUGGAAACAAUGACCAUCUAAUUUGGUGUAAGAGAAGACCCAUAACUUCCCAGGAAGGCUGUGGCAGCAAGUAGUCCUCUUUAGGGAUGCUGGUAUUGGUCUCCACUUCUCUAAAAGGAAGGGGUAUCACCGUUCCUUUCCUU